ACUCCUACGGGAGGCAGCAGUGAGGAAUAUUGCGCAAUGGAGGCAACUCUGACGCAGCCAUGCCGCGUGCAGGAAGACGGCCCUACGGGUUGUAAACUGCUUUUAUCCGGGAAGAAUCCCCAGUUCGUGAACUGGGUUGACGGUACCGGAGGAAUAAGCACCGGCUAACUCCGUGCCAGCAGCCGCGGUAAUACGGAGGGUGCGAGCGUUAAUCGGAAUUACUGGGCGUAAAGCGCAUGCAGGCGGCCUGUUAAGUCAGAUGUGAAAGCCCGGGGCUUAACCUCGGAAUUGCAUUUGAAACUGGCAGGCUAGAGUCUUGUAGAGGGGGUAGAAUUUCAGGUGUAGCGGUGAAAUGCGUAGAGAUCUGAAGGAAUACCAGUGGCGAAGGCGGCCCCCUGGACAAAGACUGACGCUCAGAUGCGAAAGCGUGGGGAGCAAACAGGAUUAGAUACCCUGGUAGGAUAGCG
rnacentral:rRNA from 1 species